rnacentral:rRNA from 1 species
CCUACGGGAGGCAGCAGUGAGGAAUAUUGGUCAAUGGACGGGAGCCUGAACCAGCCAAGUAGCGUGAAGGAUGACGGUACUGUGGGUUGUAAACUUCUUUUGUCAAGGAAUAAAAGCAGGGACUAGUGCCCUGUUGCAUGUACUUUAUGAAAAAGCAUCGGCUAACUCCGUGCCAGCAGCCGCGGUAAUACGGAGGAUGCGAGCGUUAUCCGGAUUUAUUGGGUUUAAAGGGUGCGGAGAUGGGUUGUUAAGUCAGUGGUGAAAGUUUGGGGCUAAACCGUAAAAGUGCAAUUGAUACUGGCAGUCUUGAGUACAGUAGAGGUAGGCGGAAUUCGCGGUGUAGCGGUGAAAUGCUUAGAUAUCACGAAGAACCCCGAUUGCGAAGGCAGCGUACCAAACUCUGACUGACAUUGAUGCUCGAAAGUGUGGGUAUCAAACAGGAUUAGAUACCCGUGUAGUC